CUGAAUACAUGCUGGCCAGAGCAAAUAUCAAGUGGAAGAAUGAAUAGGAAUAACUAACUGGCCGUCCUUCUAUGUCCUUCUUGUUCUCUGUUCCCUCUUCCACGUCUUCUCCUUCAAGAAGCGGUUUCUUUCCAGCUGCAACACAAGAUUUGGCAAACAUUUGGAAUGGCUUAGAAUGAGCUAGCUGCACUAAUUCAACUCUUCCAACAAACAAUAAUGUAAAGCUAGCAUUUUAGAGUUAACCAUUAGAAUAGCUAAUCAAUCAAAAUGACUGCUUUAUCCUAACUAUUUAAAAAAAUAAAAAAAUCAAGCCAUUUUGUCUGCAUUUUCAAAAAGCAAAGAAAGGUUCCAUGUGAUUGAGCACCUGACUUAGGUGAAGAUGGCGGUGACAGAAAUGUUGUUGAAGAACCAGCACGAAGAGCGGAAUAUAGGACUGAGAGAACUGUUGUGAGCAUCCCAAGAACAAGGGUACUUAUGGUAACCGCUUUGGAUUUGUUGUGGAGGCCAUUGCAG
rnacentral:lncRNA from 1 species